UAUACAAAUUUAAGUUGGUUGAUGUUGUUGGAUUUUUUGUCCUUGUUUUUUAAUGCUUUUUUUGCUUUGUUCUUCCUUCAUCCUAAUUGUCAUAUUCAGGCCCUGCAAAGUCAAUGUUUUUUAAGAAAGUCUGAAGGCCCCAAUAAAUUGAGAAGUGCACUUGGUUAUCAGAAUCAGUCCCUUGUGGAAGUGGAACCCAAUCUAGAACCUCAGAUGUAGAAGUUCCAGGUGCCUACAUCAUAUUGAUAGGCUUGUUUGCCCUUCAACGUUAUGGCACAUACAAGGUUAAUUUCUUUACUUGGUGAACAUUUGAACCCAGCAAGGUUGCAUCAUUCUAUACACAGGUAAGUAUGCUUUGCAUUGAUAGCAAGAUACGGAGCAAAUAAAGUUUGAUGGUACCAAAUUAUCAAUAGCAGGUCGACCAUGGUUCUAGUAAUCUAUAGAAUGGAGCAAAUCAAGUUUGAUAAGCAUGUAAUGUGGUUUCUAUUACAUUACAAGAUAUUCUGCUUUUCUUUUUUGAUGAAGGGGACCACCAUGUUGUUCAACCUUAACUUAGCGCAAUGUGAGGGAAGGACACUAACCCAGUUGGAUCUGCCCAAUAGAUGAUCAAUCAAAAUUUGAUGCACAACAGACACAAGGUUUGCAGAAGAGCCUUUGUGGUCAUCCUCUUUUCUUUGGUAUAACAACGGGACUGCAUUCUGAGAUUAUAAAUUCUAGGUACCUCUUUCCCCU